GAAUAUUUCUAGAAUAACAAACUUUAGAAGGGGGUCACCAGAGAGACAAGGGCAUUGCAACUCUGUAGGAGCCACUAUUCCACGGAUCAUCAACUUGUUCCAACUCUCAGGAUGGAGGUCCUCUUGGGAAGCGAUGUCACUACUAACACAAAUACUUCCAUAAUUUGAAAAUUCAUUGAAGCUUUGACAUUUGAAAAACUUCACCCAGCUCUAGUUUGGGUUAUAUUAACUCUUGUAUCCCUGACCCAUGUCAGGG